rnacentral:lncRNA from 1 species
AUGCCUGUGUUUAUGAUAAUCACGCUUGUUUUUCAGAUUUCGAAAGGAGGUUCUUCCCAGUCUGUGAAGCUUUAUUGCCAACCGCUGUCCUUCUUCAUUUGCAACAAUGUAAAUAUCCGAUUCUUUGCCAACACCCACCUGGUUUCCAGCGGACUCAACUACCUGUCUAGAAGAAAGUGUUUUCAAAGCUGGGUAAUCAUAGCCUGCAUUUGUCAACCGGUAGCCCUGGACAGUUUUGGUGCGCUCCCAAGCUAUGAGUUUAUGUUUCACUAAUUCUGUUAAAACUUUAUUACAGCCACCAUGUUUAAGGCUGGCUAUAGAAGCAACUAAACUGCAGGGAACUAUUUCAUGGUUCCUCACGCCCAUUUCAACCGCGGUCAGGACCCUGAAGUCAUCCCAGCUCAGGUAACGUAACUUGGCCACGUUCACCUUCCCGGUGGCGCCCGAAGACCAAGCCAGGAGCCUCCCCCUCUGCAGCCGCAGACUCGCCUCUGCGGGCGCCUCCUUGUAUGUUUACUUUGGAACUAGGACCAGAAUCGCUACAAGUUUCCUGUGUUUCCACUUGAGAAAACUUUUCCUUCCAGAGGGGAAGUGACUAGGUACUUUAGGGAUCUUUUGUGUUUGUGGCCUUACAUAUCAGUGGAGGAUUUUUUAAACACAUUCUAGAAGAUGAAUUAAUUACAGAAACUCAUGAUUUGUUCUCACUAUAUAGGUAUUUACCUUUAAAAAUAAGAAAAAGGAAUAGAAAUAAGUGUUGCAUGAGCAAUUAUCAAAAAUGUAUUAAUAACACUUGUAUAAAGCAUUUUUAGCUAGGGAACUCAAUAUAGAAUUAUAUAUAAAUCCAGAUUUACACAUUACUCUUAGCCAAGAGUAAUCUGUGAAGUGAUGAGACUUGUCUGAUAAAUAGCUUUAUCUAUUUUCCCUGAUUUUACCAUGUGUGGAAUGCAAGUAAGCAUCAGAAUUGCUCGAUUUUAUUUUAUUGCAUCUGAUGUAAGACUUGAUUUUUUCCCCCUAAAGAUUUAUUUAUUUAUUUUAAAGAGAGAGAGCAUGAACAGGAGGUAUAAAGGGAGAGGGAGAGAGAAUUGCAAGUAGACUCCAUGCUGAUCUUGGAGUCUGAUGUGGGGCUUGAUCCCAGGUUGCUGAGAUCAUGAUCUGAGCUGAAACCAAGAGUCAGAUCCUUAACCUAACUGUGCCACCCCAGCACUCCAAGACUUGGCUUUUCUCAUGGAAAAUCCUAGUUAAUAAAUAUCCCUGAAUUUUUUCACAUUGGUUAUGAGUCAGAUAAGUUAUCAUUAUUUCCACAAAAUAUUUCAGGUUAUGAAGAAUGCAAAUGUUUUCAGUUAAGAUUGAAUGACAACAAAUGAUGACUUUAUUGUACGUUUUGGCAAUUGUUUGGACUUAGCUACCCCACUUGCGUUGUCUUUUGUAAUUCAUUCAUAUUAUCUUUUUGAUGACCUUUUAAUAUCACUAGUGAUUGUGCUACUUUGUAUUGUCAAUUUAAAUGACUUAAAGACUUUAGGAUUAAUAUUUAGCAGGGUAAAUUUAUGAGAAAUCUUUGGUUUUCUACAAAAUUUUUAAAGAAACUAAAAUUCAUAGAGCAAAGGGUGUAGAGUUACCUAGUAUGGUUUUGACUUAUUUUUUCUAAGGCUGGAAUUGAGAAGAUAAGGUCAAUGUGGUAUAUAGCUAUUUUUUUAAUAUGAUGAUUAAGUAAAUUAUAUUUUAAAGUCAAGGUUGAAAGCUAAUCAUGAUAUUGUUAUGUAGCUAUAUGUUUAAGAUCAUCUGCACAUAUUACUGUAUAUUUUCAAAUUAAGAAACAAAAUAAAUGCAUGUAUAAUAAAGAUGAGGGACCUGGUAACUUAAAAUUGGCCUUAGAAUAUUGAGUCUGCUGUAAACAAGAACUAUUCUCUACCUUACUGUAAUCCAUCCAGAGACUGGGAAUUCUUACUUUGUCAGGUACUCUAAGCCCUUUGGCUAACUUCUGUCAUGCUACUGAAUUGUUAAAACAAAGAAUAAAAAUUCAUCACAUCUGAAGCUAUUAAGUCUCUUAUUAAUUGUCCCCUAAUUAAUUAAUAUUAUUAGUUUUCUCUGUUUUUAAUUUUUAAAAAGAUUUUAUAUACUUAUUUUAGAGAGAGAGAGAGAGAAAGAGUGGUGGAGGAGCAGAGG